rnacentral:rRNA from 1 species
CUCGAACGAGAAAGCCGGGGCAACCUGGUGAGUACAGUGGCGUACGGGUGAGUAACACGUGGGUUACCUACCCUCUGGUGGGGAAUAACCCUGGGAAACCGGGGCUAAUACCGCAUAUGUCCGCGAGGACAAAGCCGAAAGGCGCCGGAGGAGGGGCCCGCGGCCGAUUAGCUAGUUGGUGAGGUAAUGGCCUACCAAGGCUGUGAUCGGUAGCCGGCCUGAGAGGGCACACGGCCACACUGGCACUGAAACACGGGCCAGACUCCUACGGGAGGCAGCAGUGGGGAAUCUUGCACAAUGGGGGAAACCCUGAUGCAGCGACGCCGCGUGAGCGAUGAAGCCCUUCGGGGUGUAAAGCUCUUUCGGCAGGAACGAUUAUGACGGUACCUGCAGAAGAAGCUGCGGCUAACUACGUGCCAGCAGCCGCGGUAAUACGUAGGCAGCGAGCGUUGUUCGGAGUUACUGGGCGUAAAGGGUGUGUAGGCGGUUUGCCAAGUUCGGUGUGAAAUCUCCCGGCUUAACUGGGAGGGUGCGCCGAAUACUGGCAGGCUCGAGUGCGGGAUGGGAGAGCGGAAUUCCUGGUGUAGCGGUGAAAUGCGUAGAGAUCAGGAGGAACACCUGCGG